AGGAGUGUAGCUCAGUGACAGAGCGCCUGCCUGGCAUGCACGAGCCGCUGGGUUUGACCCCCACACUGCUG
rnacentral:tRNA from 1 species